GGGCGAUCCCAGCGUGCGGCCCUGAGGCACUGUCCCCACACCGCUCCACACUGUCCCGAAGCCCCGAGCGCCAGCCCGGACCCCCGGGACACGCCCCCCCACCACACACACACACACACACACACACACACACACACACACACACUCCCCCCCCCGACCCCCGGGACACACACCCCCACCCCACCCCUGCACCCCCGCACCCCGACCGCUGGGACACCCCCCACACACUCCCCUCCCCUCCAGCAACGCGCGGCGCUCCCAUCCCCCGGCAGCCCACCAGGUGGCGCUCGCUCCCCCAUUUCCCCCCCCCCUCCCGCGCCGACGCCCGUGACGUCAGCCGCCCGGCUCCAUUUGAGCGCCUCUCGGCAGCCGAGAACUCGGACUUCCCGUGUGGCUCACAACAUAACUACUCGGCGUUGCUUCUACAGUGGCUGUGGCUCGACCCCUGGCCUGGGAACUUCCAUAUGCCGCAGCCCCGCGGCGGCAGAUGGCACUCGUUCUGCCGCUUUUUCCUGGCUGUGUGCGAUGCCAUCGCAUAGAUGUCCCCGGGUCUGCGAAGUGCACUCACCUGUCAGUGGACCUUUAGGUGGCUUCCAGAUCUUGGCUCUGCCCCGCGGCGGCAGAUGGCACUCGUUCUGCCGCUUUUUCCUGGCUGUGUGCGAUGCCAUCGCAUGGAUGUCCCCGGGCCUUCGAAGUGCACUCACCUGUCAGUGGACCUUUAGGUGGCUUCCAGAUCUUGGCUCUGCCCCGCGGCGGCAGAUGGCACUCGUUCUGCCGCUUUUUCCUGGCUGUGUGCGAUGCCAUCGCAUGGAUGUCCCCGGGCCUUCGAAGUGCACUCACCUGUCAGUGGACCUUUAGGUGGCUUCCAGAUCUUGGCUCUGGUGAGUAGUGCGGCGACAGACAGAGGGGUGCCCGGGUCUGCUUCCGGGAAAGUUUGGUCCCGGUGAAAUGGAGCUGUUUGGAGGCCGGCUUCGGUCUUUGUGUGGGCCGGCCCGUGUAGGGCUGCUUGGCUGAGACUCUGUCGAGGAGGGAGGCCUUCAGCCACCGGGGCCUCACGGGGCCUCCCCGUGCGGCACCAUCACAGAGCUCUCCGUCACUGCCCCUGGUGGGGGUGAGGGAAGGGGCGUGUUUGGGGGGUGGGGUGGGCGGGGUGUGUGCGCGCGCGCGUGCACGCACGCUGGCGGGCGUGGGUGUCCCGGGG
ensembl:lncRNA